ACGGGAGGCAGCAGCUAAGAAUAUUCCGCAAUGGACGAAAGUCUGACGGAGCGACGCCGCGUGGAUGAUGAAGGCCGGAAGGUUGUAAAAUCCUUUUAUGACUGAGGAAUAAGCAGGGUGAGAGAAACGCCCUGUGGUGACUGUAGGUCAUGAAUAAGCAACGGCUAAUUACGUGCCAGCAGCCGCGGUAACACGUAAGUUGCGAGCGUUGUUCGGAAUUAUUGGGCGUAAAGGGCAUGUAGGCGGUUUUGCAAGCUUGGUGUGAAAUCCCGGAGCUUAACUCCGGAAUUGCGUUGAGAACUGCAUAACUAGAGUCACUGAGGGGCAAUCAGAAUUCCUGGUGUAGGGGUGAAAUCUGUAGAUAUCAGGAAGAAUACCAAUGGCGAAGGCAGGUUACCAGCAGAUGACUGACGCUGAGGUGCGAAGGUGCGGGGAGCAAACAGGAUUAGAUACCCUGGUA
rnacentral:rRNA from 1 species